rnacentral:rRNA from 1 species
UACGUAGGGUGCAAGCGUUGUCCGGAAUUAUUGGGCGUAAAGAGCUCGUAGGCGGUUUGUCGCGUCUGCUGUGAAAACUCAGGGCUUAACUCUGAGCUUGCAGUGGGUACGGGCAGACUAGAGUGCGGUAGGGGAGACUGGAAUUCCUGGUGUAGCGGUGAAAUGCGCAGAUAUCAGGAGGAACACCGGUGGCGAAGGCGGGUCUCUGGGCCGUAACUGACGCUGAGGAGCGAAAGCAUGGGGAGCAAACAGG